AACGAACGCUGGCGGCAGGCUUAACACAUGCAAGUCGAACGCCCCGCAAGGGGAGUGGCAGACGGGUGAGUAACGCGUGGGAAUCUACCCUUUUCUACGGGAUAGCUCCGGGAAACUGGAAUUAAUACCGUAUGAGCCCGUCCGUAAGGACGGGGAAAGAUUUAUCGGGAAAGGAUGAGCCCGCGUUGGAUUAGCUAGUUGGUGAGGUAACGGCCCACCAAGGCGACGAUCCAUAGCUGGUCUAAGAGGAUGAUCAGCCACAUUGGGACUGAGACACGGCCCAAACUCCUACGGGAGGCAGCAGUGGGGAAUAUUGGACAAUGGGCGCAAGCCUGAUCCAGCCAUGCCGCGUGAGUGAUGAAGGCCCUAGGGUUGUAAAGCUCUUUCAGUGGGGACGAUAAUGACGGUACCCACAGAAGAAGCCCCGGCUAACUUCGUGCCAGCCGCCGCAGUAACAC
rnacentral:rRNA from 1 species